AUUGAACGCUGGCGGCAUGCCUUACACAUGCAAGUCGAACGGUAACAGGUCUUCGGAUGCUGACGAGUGGCGAACGGGUGAGUAAUACAUCGGAACGUGCCUAGUAGUGGGGGAUAACUACUCGAAAGAGUGGCUAAUACCGCAUGAGAUCUACGGAUGAAAGCAGGGGAUCGCAAGACCUUGUGCUACUAGAGCGGCCGAUGGCAGAUUAGGUAGUUGGUGGGAUAAAAGCUUACCAAGCCGACGAUCUGUAGCUGGUCUGAGAGGACGAUCAGCCACACUGGGACUGAGACACGGCCCAGACGCCUACGGGAGGCAGCAGUGGGGAAUUUUGGACAAUGGGCGAAAGCCUGAUCCAGCAAUGCCGCGUGCAGGAUGAAGGCCUUCGGGUUGUAAACUGCUUUUGUACGGAACGAAAAGCCCCGGGUUAAUACCCUGGGGUCAUGACGGUACCGUAAGAAUAAGCACCGGCUAACUACGUGCCAGCAGCCGCAGUAA
rnacentral:rRNA from 1 species